GACAGAGGGGGCAAGCGUUGCUCGGAAUCACUGGGCGUAAAGGGCGCGUAGGCGGGAUGGCAAGUCGGGUCGUGAAAUCUCUCGGCUCAACCGAGAAACGUCGGCCGAUACUGCCGUUCUUGAGGGAUGCAGAGGAGACUGGAAUUCCCGGUGUAGCGGUGAAAAUGUGUAGAGAUCGGGAGGAACACCGGUGGCGAAGGCGGGUCUCUGGGCAUUUCCUGACGCUGAGGCGCGAAAGCGGUGGGGAGCAAACGGG
rnacentral:rRNA from 1 species